GAGGAGCCUGCGGCAGAUUAGCUAGUUGGUAAGGUAACGGCUUACCAAGGCGAUGAUCUGUAGCCGGCCUGAGAGGGCGGUCGGCCACACUGACACUGACAUACGGGUCAGACUCCUACGGGAGGCAGCAGUCGGGAAUUUUGGGCAAUGGGCGAAAGCCUGACCCAGCAACGCCGCGUGAAGGAUGAAAUCCUUCGGGAUGUAAACUUCGCAAGAACGGGAAGAAUAAGUAAGAGCUAACAUCUCUUACGAUGACGGUACUGUUUGUAAGCUCCGGCUAACUCCGUGCCAGCAGCCGCGGUAAUACGGGGGGAGCAAGCGUUGUUCGGAUUUACUGGGCGUAAAGGGCGCGUAGGCGGCCACCGCAAGUCGACUGUGAAAUCUCUGGGCUUAACCCAGAACGGUCAGCCGAUACUGCGGGGCUAGAGUGCAGAAGGGGCAACUGGAAUUCUCGGUGUAGCGGUGAAAUGCGUAGAUAUCGAGAGGAACACCUGCGGCGAAGGCGGGUUGCUGGGCUGACACUGACGCUGAGGCGCGAAAGCUAGGGGAGCGAACGGGAUUAGAUACCCCGGUAGUCCUAGCCUUAAACGAUGAAUGCUUGGUGU
rnacentral:rRNA from 1 species